GCAGUGGUGCAGUGGCAGAGCAUGCCACCCCAGAACAGGGGUUUGCAUGUGGAAGGUCCCAGCUUCAAUCCCUGGUAUCUCCA